rnacentral:rRNA from 1 species
UACGGAGGGUGCAAGCGUUAUCCGGAAUUACUGGGCGUAAAGCGUGUGUAGGCGGUUUGUUAAGUCCGUUGUGAAAGCCCCGAGCUCAACUUGGGAAUUGCAGUGGAUACUGGCAAGCUGGAGUGCGGUAGAGGAAGGUGGAAUUCCCGGUGUAGCGGUGAAAUGCGUAGAGAUCGGGAGGAACACCCGUGGCGAAGGCGGCACUCUGGGACGGUACUGACGCUGAGACGCGAAAGCGUGGGGAGCGAACAGG